UACGUAGGGGGCAAGCGUUGUCCGGAUUUAUUGGGCGUAAAGAGCGUGUAGGCGGUCAGGUAGGUCCGUUGUGAAAACUCGAGGCUCAACCUCGAGACGCCGAUGGAAACCAUCUGACUAGAGUCCGGAAGAGGAGAGUGGAAUUCCUGGUGUAGCGGUGAAAUGCGCAGAUAUCAGGAGGAACACCGGUGGCGAAGGCGGGUCUCUGGGCAGUAACUGACGCUGGAGGAGCGAAAGCGUGGGGAGCGAACAGG
rnacentral:rRNA from 1 species